rnacentral:rRNA from 1 species
CAACUAUUUUUUAAGACCUCAAAUCAGGUGGGACUACCCGCUGAACUUAAGCAUAUCAAUAAGCGGAGGAAAAGAAACUAACAAGGAUUCCCCUAGUAACGGCGAGUGAAGAGGGAAAAGCCCAAAUUUGUAAUCUGGCUCUUUCAGAGUCCGAGUUGUAAUUUUAAGAACUGUUUUCUGUGCUAGGCCACAUAUAAGUCUGUUGAAAAACAGCAUCAUGGAGGGUGAUAAUCCCGUAUAUGAUGUGGAUUUGCUAGUGCUUUAUGAUACAGUUUCUAAGAGUCGAGUUGUUUGGGAAUGCAGCUCAAAGUGGGUGGUAAAUUCCAUCUAAGGCUAAAUAUAGGUGAGAGACCGAUAGCAAACAAGUACCGUGAGGGAAAGAUGAAAAGAACUUUGGAAAGAGAGUUAACAGUACGUGAAAUUGUUAAAAGGGAAACAAUUGAAGUUAGCCUUGUUGUUAUUAGUUCAGCUCCUUCUGGGGUGUAUUCUAAUGGCCAACAGACCAACAUCAAUUCUAUAGUGUUGGAUAAGGGUUGGGGAAAUGUAGCAGUCUUUGACUGUGUUAUAGUCCUGGACUUUGAUACAGUGCUUGGGAUUGAGGAAUGCAGUAAGCUACUCUUGUGGCGGGACAAUUUUAUUGUUCUUCUUACUGAGGAUGUUGGGUAUAGCUUCAACUGACCCGUCUUGAAACACGGACCAAGGAGUCUAACAUGCCUGCGAGUAUUUGGGUGUUCAAACCCUGAUGCGUAAUGAAAGUGAAUGUAAAUGGGAUCUGUCAAAGGUGCACCAUUGACCAGUCCUGAUUAUUUAUAUGAAGGUACUGAGUAAGAGCAAGUAUGUUGGGACCCGAAAGAUGGUGAACUAUGCCUGAAUAGGGUGAAGCCAGAGGAAACUCU